rnacentral:tRNA from 1 species
GCUGUGGUUGCUCAGUGGGUUGAGCAUCAUCCCAUGAACCAAGAGGUCCUGGGUUCGAUUCCCAGUCAGGGCA